rnacentral:rRNA from 1 species
GGUCAAGCUACAAAGGGCGCAUGGUGAAUGCCUUGGCACUAGGAGCCGAUGAAGGACGUGAUAAGCUGCGAUAAGCUUCGGGUAGGCGCAAAUAGCCUGUGAACCGAAGAUUUCCGAAUGAGGAAACUCUCAUGGGUAACCCCAUGAACUGUAUACUGAAUUCAUAGGUAUAUAGAGGUAAACCCGGGGAACUGAAACAUCUAAGUACCUGGAGGAAGAGAAAGAAAAAUCGAUUUCCUUAGUAGCGGCGAGCGAAACGGAAAGAGCCCAAACCGGAAACUUGUUUCCGGGGUUGCGGUUAGAUCAUUAAAGCUUUAUAUCUUAACCGAAGAUUUCUGGAAAGUUAAACCAUAGAAGGUAAUAGUCCUGUAGGUAAAAAGAGAAAAAAAGCCCGAUCUGUACCAGAGUACCACGAGACACGUGAAACCUUGUGGGAAGCUGGGAGGGACCACCUCCCAAGGCUAAAUACUACCUAGUGACCGAUAGUGAAGAAGUACCGUGAGGGAAAGGUGAAAAGAACCCCAGGAGGGGAGUGAAAUAGAACCUGAAACCGUGUGUCCACAACCGAUCAAAACACGUUAAUGUGUGAUGAUGUGCUUUUUGUAGAACGAGCCAGCGAGUUACGGUAUGCAGCAAGGUUAAGCACUUAAGGUGCGCAGCCGAAGGGAAACCAAGUCUAAAUAGGGCGUAUAGUUGCAUGCUGUAGACCCGAAACCGGGUGACCUAUCCAUGGCCCAGGGUGAAGCGGAAGUAAAAUUCCGUGGAGGCCCGAACCACAAUGGUGUUGAAAAACCAUGGGAUGAGCUGUGGAUAGGGGAGAAAUUCCAAUCGAACUCGGAUAUAGCUGGUUCUCCUCGAAAUAGCUUUAGGGCUAGCGCCAUGAAUGAGUACCGGAGGUAGAGCACUGAAUGAGGUAGGGGCUGACAACAGUUUACCGAACUUUAUCAAACUCCGAAUGCUGGAUACUUGAAUCAUGUAGUCAGACUGCGAAUGAUAAGAUCCGUAGUCAAAAGGAAACAGCCCAGAUCACAGCUAAGGUCCCAAAGUAUAGAUUAAGUGGUAAAGGAUGUGGGAUUUCUAAGACAACUAGGAUGUUGGCUCAGAAAGCAGCCAUACAUUAAAAGAGUGCGUAAUAGCUCACUAGUCAAGAGAUCCUGCGCCGAAAAUGUCCCGGGCUAAAAAUCUAACACCGAAGCUGUGAACUUGUACUUCGUACAAGUGGUAGAGGAGCAUCCUGUAAUGGGCUGAAGUCGUACCGAAAGGAGCGGUGGGACUGUACAGGAGAGAGUAUGCUGGCAUAAGUAGCGAGAAACUAAGUGAGAAUCUUAGUGGUCGAAAACCUAAGGUUUCCUGGGGAAGGUUCGUUCCCCAGGGUAAGUCGGGAACCUAAGCCGAGGCCGAAAGGCGUAGGUGAUGGACAAUCGGUUGAUAUUCCGAUACCGCAGAGUAACGUUAUGAGAAAUGGGAUGACGCAGGAGGAUAGGAUAUGCGUACGUUAUUGGAAGUACGUCUAAGCACUUGAGGAUGAAAAGAAUAGGAAAAUCCGUCUUUCGUUAAGUCUGGGGUGUAAUGGUGAGGUAGUUUAACUACCGAAAUAUCUGAUUUCAUGCUGCCAAGAAAAGUCUCUAUCCCAGGAGCUCUGUGCCCGUACCGCAAA